AGAAACAGUAUCCACAGUGGACUCCGGGGCUCCUACAGACUUGGCACAGCUUCCUACAGUCUUGAAACAGCCCUGUUGUUCUGUCAUGGCCAGUGGGCAGUUUGUGAACAAACUGCAAGAGGAAGUGAUCUGCCCCAUCUGCCUGGACAUUCUGCAGAAACCUGUCACCAUCGACUGUGGGCACAAUUUCUGCCUCAAAUGCAUCACUCAGAUUGGGGAAACAUCAUGUGGAUUUUUCAAAUGUCCCCUCUGCAAAACUUCCGUAAGGAAGAACGCAAUCAGGUUCAACUCGCUGUUGCGGAAUCUGGUGGAGAAAAUCCAAGCUCUACAAGCCUCUGAGGUGCAGUCCAAAAGGAAAGAGGCUACAUGCCCGAGGCACCAGGAGAUGUUCCACUAUUUCUGCGAGGAUGAUGGGAAGUUCCUCUGUUUUGUGUGUCGUGAAUCCAAGGACCACAAAUCCCAUAAUGUCAGCUUGAUCGAAGAAGCUGCCCAGAAUUAUCAGGGGCAGAUUCAAGAGCAGAUCCAAGUCUUGCAGCAAAAGGAGAAGGAGACAGUACAAGUGAAGGCACAAGGUGUACACAGGGUCGAUGUCUUCACGGACCAGGUAGAACAUGAGAAGCAAAGGAUCCUCACAGAAUUUGAACUCCUGCAUCAAGUCCUAGAGGAGGAGAAGAAUUUCCUGCUAUCACGGAUUUACUGGCUGGGUCAUGAGGGAACGGAAGCGGGGAAACACUAUGUUGCCUCCACUGAGCCACAGUUGAACGAUCUCAAGAAGCUCGUUGAUUCCCUGAAGACCAAGCAGAACAUGCCACCCAGGCAGCUGCUGGAG
rnacentral:misc_RNA from 1 species